CAGCCGCCGCGGGAAUACGUAGGUGGCAAGCGUUGUCCGGAAUUAUUGGGCGCAAAGGGCUCGCAGGCGGUUUCUUAAGUCUGAUGUGAAAGCCCCCGGCUCAACCGGGGAGGGUCAUUGGAAACUGGGAAACUUGAGUGCAGAAGAGGAGAGUGGAAUUCCACGUGUAGCGGUGAAAUGCGUAGAGAUGUGGAGGAACACCAGUGGCGAAGGCGACUCUCUGGUCUGUAACUGACGCUGAGGAGCGAAAGCGUGGGGAGCGAACAGGAUUAGAUACCCCAGUAGUCCCUGUCUCUUAUAC
rnacentral:rRNA from 1 species